AUCUGCUGCUGCUAGAGGGGAACAUCGGGUCCCUACAGAAGAAGCCAGAAACAAGCCUCGCACAGCCUCAUCACCUCCAUCUCAUAGCCGAGGGAGUAGACCUGCCAGCUCUGAGACGCUGAGUCCAGGCUUCCAGUGCUGUUGGACUGUCCUCUCCAUGGAGGCCCAGCCGAGCAGCUCUCCACUGGUCCACCUCACACCUUCAGGGUGAAGCGACUGCAAGAGCACUGUAACAGUGAAAAGAUGGAAACAGCCUAAACACUAGUCAGAGUGGGCUGCUCCCAGAAAUCCUACC